rnacentral:tRNA from 2 species
GGGGUGUUUCUUGGUAUUCUUCGGAGGCCGACUUUUAAUCAGGGGGUCCAGGGUUCGAAUCCCUGACGGCUCACCA